AUUGAACGCUGGCGGAAUGCUUUACACAUGCAAGUCGAACGGCAGCACGGACUUCGGUCUGGUGGCGAGUGGCGAACGGGUGAGUAAUGUAUCGGAACGUGCCCAGUCGUGGGGGAUAACGUAGUGAAAAUUACGCUAAUACCGCAUACGAUCUAUGGAUGAAAGCGGGGGAUCGCAAGACCUCGCGCGUUUGGGGCGGCCGAUAUCAGAUUAGGUAGUUGGUGGGGUAAAGGCCCACCAAGCCAACGAUCUGUAGCUGGUCUGAGAGGACGACCAGCCACACUAGAACGGAGACACGGUCCAGACUCCUACGGGAGGAAGCAGUGGGGAAUUUUGGACAAUGGGCGAAAGCCUGAUCCAGCCAUUCCGCGUGCAGGAUGAAGGCCCUCGGGUUGUAAACUGCUUUUGUACAGAACGAAAAGGUUUCUACUAAUACUAGGAGCUCAUGACGGUACUGUAAGAAUAAGCACCGGCUAACUACGUGCCAGCCGCCGCAGUAA
rnacentral:rRNA from 1 species